AUCUGGGUAGCUCAGUCAGUAGAGCAUGAAACUCUUAAUCUCAUAAUCAUGGGUUUGAGCUCCAUGUUGGGCA